CGAUGCCAUGUGAACGAUGAAGGUCUUUUUGAUUGUAAAGUUCUUUUAGAGGGGAAAAUGAUGAUGGUACCCUUUGAAUAAGUGACAGCAAACUAUGUGCCAGCAGCUGCGGUAAUACAUAGGUCGCGAGCGUUAUUCGGAUUUAUUGGGCGUAAAGCAAGCGCAGGCGGACGGACAAGUUUUGUGUUAAAAGCAGUUGCUCAACAAUUGUUUGCGCUGAAUACUGUCCGUCUAGAAUACGGUAGGAAGUUUUGGAAUUUAAUAUGGAGCGGUGGAAUGUGUACAUAUAUUAAACA
rnacentral:rRNA from 1 species